GACGAACGCUGGCGGCGUGCCUAAUACAUGCAAGUAGAACGCACAGUUUAUACCGUAGCUUGCUACACCAUAAACUGUGAGUUGCGAACGGGUGAGUAACGCGUAGGUAACCUGCCUGGUAGCGGGGGAUAACUAUUGGAAACGAUAGCUAAUACCGCAUAAUAUUGAUUAUUGCAUGAUAAUUGAUUGAAAGAUGCUAUUGCAUCACUACCAGAUGGACCUGCGUUGUAUUAGCUAGUAGGUGAGGUAACGGCUCACCUAGGCGACGAUACAUAGCCGACCUGAGAGGGUGAUCGGCCACACUGGGACUGAGACACGGCCCAGACUCCUACGGGAGGCAGCAGUAGGGAAUCUUCGGCAAUGGACGAAAGUCUGACCGAGCAAUGCCGCGUGAGUGAAGAAGGUUUUCGGAUCGUAAAGCUCUGUUGUAAGAGAAGAACGGGUGUGAGAGUGGAAAGUUCACACUGUGACGGUAUCUUACCAGAAAGGGACGGCUAACUACGUG
rnacentral:rRNA from 1 species